UUAUCAACUAAACAAAAUCUCUUUCCUUCUUACAUUUAAAGGUCUUCUACCUUUAAAUUUUUCUCCUACAAUUACAAAUUAAAAAGAAUAACUACGUUGAAGUUCAAGUGGGAUACUCCCGAACAAUUUUACCUAUAUAUAUUAACCAAGAUGCGUUCGUGGACAAAAUCGCCGUAGAAAUUUCUGACUUUUCAAUAAAACGAAGACGAACUGAUCAACGAGAAAAAAGGCCUAUUCCAUAAACAAAUACACCACACGAUAUAUAUAUAUAUAUAUAUAUAUUGAAACUUCUUUUCAUGGUUGUUAAGAAGAUUGUUAUUAGAAACUGAUUUGAGAGUGAUAUUCAAAUUUAUCAUUACAGAUUUUAACAAUCUUGGGUGAAUUAAAGUAAAAACAAAGUUUAAAACUCACAUUUUGAGUAGGGGUGUUCAAAACCGAUCCGAAACCGAAAACCGAUUCAAACCGAAGCUUAACGGCUU
rnacentral:lncRNA from 1 species